rnacentral:rRNA from 1 species
AGCAGCCGCGGUAAUUCCAGCUCCAAUAGCGUAUAUUAAAGUUGUUGCAGUUAAAAAGCUCGUAGUUGAAUUUCGGGAUCAAAUUGUCGGUCGUGCCUCGGUACGAACUGGUAUUAUUGGUUCCUACCUUCUGAAGAACCGCGAUGUCAUUAAUUUGGUGUCGUGGGGAAUCAGGACUGUUACUUUGAAAAAAUUAGAGUGUUUAAAGCAGGCUUACGCUUGAAUACAUUAGCAUGGAAUAAUGAAAUAGGACGUUUGAUUCUAUUUUGUUGGUUUCUAGGAUUGACGUAAUGAUUAAUAGGGAUAGUUGAGGGCAUUAGUAUUCAAUUGUCAGAGGUGAAAUUCUUGGAUUUAUUGAAGACUAACUACUGCGAAAGCAUUUGCCAAGGAUGUUUUCAUUAAUCAAGAACGAAAGUUAGGGGAUCGAAGACGAUCAGAUACCGUCGUAGUCUUAACCAUAAACUAUGCCGACUAGGGAUCGGAUGAUGU